GUUAGUGGGAGGGGGGCGACUCGACCCCGAGGUGAUGCCGAGGUCGAGAGAUGGAGUCCGGCGUCCCAGGCUUUCAGGAAACUUCUGGAGUCCUGGACUUUCCCCUGUGUCAUUUGGGGCUGAGCCCCACGCUCACAGGCCGGUUGCCCCGAAGACGGGGCACGAAAAAGCAGUCACCCCGCCCGAGGCUUGGGGUCAGACCGGGUCUCGAGGCCUCCAGGCUGCCUCUAAUGCAUGCAGCGGGCUGGGACCCCCAGGAGAUCUUAAGGUGCCCCCUAGGGGACUGGUGGGAAGUCCCCUUCUGGAUCAGCCCUUCCUAGAGAGCUCACGGCUCCACCAGUGGUGACAAACGGAGGGGACCCAGCACAGAGAGGGGAAGGAGACGUGGGCGUGGAACCGGCUGGAGGUCUCCUCGGGACCUCACACUCUCCCCACCGUGUCCCCGACACCAGUCCAUGGACCCGCAGCCCAGCCAAAUGCCCAGCCUCUCCUCGCAGACCCUGGUCCUGCCUCCAUUCCCCAAGAGGAUGCCCUCCUACCACCCACCCACCCGCAACAACACCUGGACCCCGGGACCCCCGAAAGACAAGAGUGAGCACCCAUCUUUCUGUACAGAGUCCUGCAGGGCGGCUGCUGGGCCACCUGACCCGGCACAGCCUCAGCCUCCCUCCCCGCCCCCAUCACUGCCACAGCCUGACAUCUGUGUGCAGCUCCGCCCAGAGGGCAGGGUCCAUCCACCGCAGGGCCCUUGCACUCGCUGUUCUUUCUGCCUGGGAAGUCUUGGCCCCAGACCAUCCCUGGGGUGCUGUCUUUCGCAUGUGGCCCCUCUCAGCUGUUGCCUCCUCUGAGAACUCAGUCUCUGCUGACCUCCCCGUCACUCAGCCCCACAGUGCCUCAAGCUCUGCCAGAAAGUCCCCCUGGGCAGCUGGUCCAGGCCUGCCAUAAGAACCGCAGAGCUGGGGCUCCUGGUCCUUGGUGCCUUCGGGCAGGGAGCAGCGGGAAGACCGUGUUGUCGGGAGAGGCAACAUCUGGCUGUAUUCCAGCUGGGAAGUCCUGGGAGCCCUCCACUGCAGUGAGAGCUGGCCACCCACUAAGGCAGCCCAUUUCCCAUAGCACUGUGGGACUUUAGGGUCCAUUUCAACUAUUGAUUUUCCUUUUAAUGUUUAUCUUGACCUCACCAGAGCACCUGCAUCCCGCAGGUUUCAUAGGCUUCCUCCCCUCCUGUCCCAAGUCUCAGGGGGGUUUGCCCCCAAUGCCGUUUGUGUGGAGCCGUGGGUAUGGCUUGUGGGCUCCCAGGCUGGGGUCCCUCUCACCUCCAUGUUCCUGGCAUCAGUGUGGGACCCUGAGGAGGAGGAUCCCGGAGUUUGACUGCCCAGAUGUCCGCUGAACACCGGCCUCUUGCGAGGCACUUACGCCGUCUGUCCAGCCAAGCCCGCACCUUGCCCUGCAGCAGAGGGACUGCCACCCUCAUUCUGCAGAUUUCCAAUAACACAGUCAAGUUGCUUAAAUGAUCCUGCACCCAGGUCCUCACCGUGGGCUCUGCUGUUCCGAAUAUGAAGACGAAGCCAGACUUGGAGAACAGGGCCUUGAGGGUUUGUGUCUCUCGUUCCCAGAUUUCCAAUAACACAGUCAAGUUGCUUAAAUGAUAAGACAUUUUUGGGGGGAGAAAAAUUAAUGUUUUAUUUCUGUUUACAGUGAUAUAAUAUACUACUUAGUAUAAAUUAUAAAUAACUUAUGAGAAAAGAGAAGACAUCCCUUAUAUCCAGAAAAUAAAACAUUAA
ensembl:lncRNA